UUUGAGGUAAAUUUUCAUCCAUUAAAUUAUACUUAAGUGAUUCAAUGUCUAUAUUAGACAUGCAUUCAGCGUGUGUUUAGCAUGCACAUGUGUUAAAUUCUUAAUUUUAGAAAACGAAUAAUGUCGCCCUCUUUAGUGAGUAUAAAAUAACAUUUUGAGCCUCGUAGGAGGGUGCAGGCAGCGGUCGGAGGUGUAUACGUGGGACUGCUCAAGUGUGGCGCUGGGGAUCAGGAGGUACUGGUGCCAGAACUCACCCAUCACCCAAAAAAUCUGUGAAGAAACUUUUCUUAGAUGGAGAUACCAACAAAGAUGUUCGUGACAACUCGGAAACCAAGACACUGAAAAAUGUGAAUAGGAAAAGUGCACAACUGAAGAUAGUUGAUCGGAGAAGGAUGAUCAAGGUGCUUUUGCCUCUACAAGCUGGACAACGGAUGCUCUUUUGGUUUCUCGGUACC